rnacentral:misc_RNA from 1 species
AAGUCGUAACAAGGUUUCCGUAGGUGAACCUGCGGAAGGAUCAUUACCAAAUCCAAAUCCUUCAACCCCUUGUGAACUAUGAUUUUAUUUAUUGUUUGUCUUUGGGGAGAGUGUUAAAAUCUUGCUUCGAAAAUCAAAAGAUUUUAGAUUUAAGUUUUUAUGCUCCCCAAAAGAGUUUCCCCUCUUCUUGAGGUUGAACUCAAAUAUUUAAACUACUUUCAUAAACUUUUUUUGGAAUGCUUUUAUUUUUACUAAUAAAAGACAACUUUUAACGGUGGAUCUCUUGGCUCGUG